rnacentral:tRNA from 1 species
GGAGGGUUGGCAGAGUGGUAAUGCAGCGGCUUGCUAAGCCGUGACUGGGUUAAACCGGUCCACAGGUUCAAAUCCUGUACCCUCCGCCA